GUCAAAUUAGAUGUUAUAGAGUACAUAUUCAUAAUAGGGAAAUAAAAUAAAAAAAUAACUUUAUUUGAAAACAUUUUAUUAAAAAUGGAAUAUCAUCGUGUUUAAACAAUAAUUCUGGAACAUAUCGCCGAUAUAAUACUUAUUGAACGGAACAUACCGAGCCUCGUUGAAACCGCGAAAAGCCGCUCCGUCCGCUAAAACCGAGCACAGUUGAUCGUGGUGCAUACAACCGUGCGGUAGAUGAGCCGGUAAUGGAAAACUUGUCUUAGAUAACCAUUCCAAGACUUUAGCUCUCGGCGUAGCCAAUCUGAAAUUCAAAUCGCCGAACCAAAAAACGUAAUCGAAAUUUUGGGUUAUGUCUGAAAUAGAAAUAACGUUAACGAAACAUUUUUAUCACUUGUAAAUUGUCUUUAUAACGGUUUUAAAUUAAAAAAAAAAAUUGUAAUAGAAAAAAUUAUAUUUAUAUUUGGGAAUUUAACAUUAAAUAAAUUAUUAAAAAUAUUACAUACAA